GACGAACGCUGGCGGCGUGCUUAACACAUGCAAGUCGUACGGUAAGGCCCUUUCGGGGGUACACGAGUGGCGAACGGGUGAGUAACACGUGAGUAACCUGCCCACCACUUUGGGAUAACGCUAGGAAACUAGUGCUAAUACUGGAUAUGUGCUCCUGCUGCCUGGUGGGGGUUGGUAAGCUCCGGCGGUUGUGGAUGGACUCGCGGCCUAUCAGCCUGUUGGUGGGGUAGUGGGCUACCAAGGCGGCGACGGGUAGCCGGCCUGAGAGGGUGACCGGCCACAUUGGGACUGAGAUACGGCCCAGACUCCUACGGGAGGCAGCAGUGGGGAAUAUUGGACAAUGGGCGCAAGCCUGAUGCAGCAACGCCGCGGGCGGGAUGACGGCCUUCGGGUUGGAAAACGCUUUCAGCAGGGACGAAGCUUUUUGUGACGGUACCUGCAGAAGAAGCACCGGCUAACUACGUG
rnacentral:rRNA from 1 species